rnacentral:rRNA from 1 species
CAGUCGCCGCGGUAAUACGUAGGUGGCGAGCGUUGUCCGGAAUCAUUGGGCGUAAAGGGAGCGCAGGCGGGCAUGUAAGUCUUUCUUAAAAGUUCGGGGCUCAACCCCGUGAUGGGAAAGAAACUAUAUGUCUUGAGUACAGGAGAGGAAAGCGGAAUUCCCAGUGUAGCGGUGAAAUGCGUAGAUAUUGGGAGGAACACCAGUGGCGAAGGCGGCUUUCUGGACUGCAACUGACGCUGAGGCUCGAAAGCCAGGGGAGCGAGCGGGAUUAGAUACCCGUGUAGUCCCUGUCUCUUAUACA